ensembl:snoRNA LOC120097601 small nucleolar RNA SNORA17
CCUGCCCUUGAGGCCUGCAGGUGUGGCUGCUGUGUCAUGCCUGUGUCAAUAAGUGGCAAAGAGGAGAGAGGCUGUCUAAGCUCAGUGUUUGGACCUUUGAACAUCUGAAUGAUUAGUAGCCUAAUAGU